rnacentral:rRNA from 1 species
AGUGAACGCUGGCGGUAGGCCUAACACAUGCAAGUCGAACGGCAGCACAGUAAGAGCUUGCUCUUACGGGUGGCGAGUGGCGGACGGGUGAGGAAUACAUCGGCAUCUACUUUUUCGUGGGGGAUAACGCAGGGAAACUUACGCUAAUACCGCAUACGACCUACGGGUGAAAGCAGGGGAUCUUCGGACCUUUCGCGAUUGAAUGAGCCGAUGUCGGAUUAGCUAGUUGGCGGGGUAAAGGCCCACCAAGGCGACGAUCCGUAGCUGGCCUGAGAGGAUGAUCAGCCACACUGGAACUGAGCCACGGUCCAGACUCCUACGGGAGGCAGCAGUGGGGAAUAUUGGACAAUGGGCGCACGCCUGAUCCAGCCAUACUGCGUGGGUGAAGAAGGCCUUCGGGUUGUAAAGCCCUUUUGUUGGGAAAGAAAAGCAGCAGGUUAAUACCCCGCUGUUCUGACGGUACCCAAAGAAUAAGCACCGGCUAACUUCGUG